GUACCAGCACGUUAUGGUGGGCACUCUAAGGAGACUGCCGGUGACAAACCGGAGGAAGGUGGGGAUGACGUCAAGUCAUCAUGGCCCUUACGGCCUGGGCUACACACGUGCUACAAUGGUCGGUACAAAGGGUUGCCAAGCCGCGAGGUGGAGCUAAUCCCAUAAAACCGAUCGUAGUCCGGAUCGCAGUCUGCAACUCGACUGCGUGAAGUCGGAAUCGCUAGUAAUCGUGAAUCAGAAUGUCACGGUGAAUACGUUCCCGGGCCUU
rnacentral:rRNA from 1 species